rnacentral:piRNA from 1 species
AUGGACUUUCCAUAAACUCAGGAUGGC